CAAAAGUCUAGUUAGUUUCUUUCCAUUAAUUAGGCCAAAUUACAAGAAAAAUUUGCUAAAUUUGUGCUAUGUGUUUCAAUUUUAAUCAUAUGCUUUGAUUUUGUCAAUUAUCAAUUUUAAACUUCCAAUUUGCUAUAUUUUCCAUUAAUUCUUGAGAACAUCCUCAUUUCUAUCACUAUUCAAGAAGUAUUUCCUGCAAGAUACAAAUUAUGAAUCAUGUGAAAACGCUUCCCAUUAUAUUGCUGAUUGUCUUUAUGCAUCAAUUUUGCACUUCACUAGACACCAUAACCAUUAACCAACCCAUUGUAGAUGGAGACGUUAUAGUUUCUACAGGGGAAACCUUUGCACUUGGUUUUUUCAGUCCAGGUAAAUCGAGCUACCGUUAUCUUGGAAUUUGGUACAACAAAAUUUCCGAAAAAACAGUUGUUUGGGUCGCAAAUCGGGAUUCUCCUAUCAAUGAUACAUCUGGUGUCCUCUCAAUCACCAGUCACGGAAACCUUGUCCUUAACAGCAGAAACCAAACGACUCCCCUAUGGUUCACAAACGUUUCGGCUUUGCCAACAAACAAUUGUGUAGCUCAACUCUUAGAUUCGGGAAAUCUUGUAUUGUUUCAUGGCGGAAGUGCCAUAUGGCAGAGCUUUGAACACCCGACAAAUCACGAGCUUCCCAUCUCAAAACUCGGGCUAGACAGAAGAAAAGGUCUGAACUGGUUCCUAACAUCUUGGAAAUCUUCAGAUGAUCCUGGUACUAGCAAUUUCUCGUAUAGGUUCAACCCUGAAGGUUAUCCGCAAUUGUUCUUAUACGAGGGUCAUGUUCCAAAGUGGAGGGCUGGUUAUUGGAAUGGCGUUAGAUGGUCUGGAGUACCUGCGAUGCAGAGAUAUUCAUUUAUCUUCAACUACACCAUUGUGAACAAUGAGAACGAGAUUUCCGUGUCGUGGAACGAUGUAUAUGGCUCAGUCUUGACAAGAAUAGUGGUGAAUGAGUCCGGCCUUUUCCAACGGUUGAAAUGGCAUGAGGACGAAGGUCAAUGGAAAGAGUUCUUUUAUGCGCCCAAGGAACAGUGUGACAGCUAUGGAUUAUGUGGAGCCUAUGGUAACUGUGUUCGGUACAAUGGUGAAUUCGACUGCACUUGUCUUCCCGGGUACCAGCCCAAAUCACCUCAAGAAUGGCAUCGGAAAGGUGGGUCAGGCGGGUGCGUUAGGAAGAAUCAGACGGCACUCUGCAGAAACGGUGAAGGAUUCGUAGAGGUGACAAAUGUUAAGGCUCCGGAUACUUCAGUUGCCCGUGUAUUGGCAAAUUUGGAUAUGAAAGCUUGUAAAGAUAAGUGCUUGAGGAACUAUUCAUGCCUUGCAUACGCAAAUCUGGGUGUGAUAAAAGGAAAUGGGUGUUUGACAUGAAUGGUGAUUUGGUAGAUACAAGAGUAUUUACAGUAGGGGGACAAAACUUAUAUGCGCGACUGGAUGCAAUUAUCAGUAGAAAUUUGGGAUUUUUCCGUUAUUUUUGUUAAUUAAUUGUGUUUAAAUGAACAUUUCACUCACUUUCUCACCCCACCAUCUUUCAGGAGCUUGCUCUAUGGCUAACUGUUUAGAUGUGGCUGUUUACUACACUAAUAGCUGCGGUUUUUCUUUUCUUUUCUUCCUUUUCAGCUCAAUAUGCAAAUAAUUCCAAACACCUUCUUGCAAAGAAAGGGAUACUGCUAGUUAUGAUACUAUCCUUGGCUGCAGGAAUUUCCUCUUUCGUUCUUUCUCAUACUGGUUGGUAAAAAGGCAGAGGAGAUUAUAUGAUACUACCAAUGUGUCUGCUGUAUAAAGCUCUAAUGCUCUAGGCAGAGAUGCUGCCAUCGGAAAAGGAGUCCUCUUUGCCAUAGAAGCCUUGCUUAAUGAGCAUGGUAUGUCAAUAUCUGGACAACGGCUUGUCAUACAAGUUCACUUUCUAGACUGUAUCGGCUUCUUUGGUCAAUCCAGUAUAGGAAGGUGCACAAAGAGGAUUUUGGCAUUUAAAAUUAUGAAGCGUUGAAGACGAGUGCCUGCCUACAUAGGACUCUUAAGCCCUUUAUGUAAGUGAAAAAUAAGCAUUAAAAUUAUCUAAUUGUACGCAAUUAGGAAUUAAUUGUUGUUCUUGAUUAGGAAUGAUUAUUACAUGUUUGUAGACUUAUGCUUCAAAGAAUUUGGUGAUAGGUUAUUUAAGAUUUUGGAAUUAUUUUUGUAAUAUCAUUACCAUGUUAAGUAAACUACUAUUUUCUAUUUUUUAUUCUCA
rnacentral:misc_RNA from 1 species